rnacentral:lncRNA from 1 species
GGAUGAAGGCACCUAUCACACUACCAUAAGGCUGAAAAAAUCACCAAGUAAAAUGUUGUACAAACUAUGACACAGUUGCUGCACCAAUCUAUUUGCACAACUAUUAUACAGCUGCUUCACCAAAAAUUCACCAGCAUGCCACAAUUUGAAUUAGAUCACACAAACAACACAAUGCAACAAUUUACACCUAACAUUGCGUCAAACACCUUGGCUGGAAUUUCAACCAAACGCAAAUUGCUUCACGAUUAACUCUGAUUGCAUGUCCUGUAAUUUUGUCAAACAGUUGGCGCUCACAUGUAAUGCACCAAACUUAUAUGAAAUUCACAAAUAUUUUGCUCGCGCAUCCAUUCAAUAGCCAAUUACAAUUUCAUCUACCUGUAAUCAAUUGCCAAACACCAAAUGCCAUAGCGACACCAUAAACAGUGAAUCACACGGUGCUGGAGAAGAAAUAAUUUGAUCCAACUAUGGCGACGGUCAUCAAUUCACCGAAACUAUUGCUUUCAUCACCAUAUUUUCCAAAAGCGCCGACCGUGAACUGAAGUAGCUCGCUAACUUUGAACAGAGCCACCACGAAGAGAAAAGGAAAAUGCAUUGUUCUUAUCACGCAUACAAACUCCAGCAGAUGUUCAAUCAACGCACCAGCAUAAGUUCUUCAAUUCUUUUUCAUAUCUCAAAUCAUUCAUUCUUCACUGCUUUAAUUCUUUGAUUUUCGAUUCACCAAACCAACUCGAUCGCGAUUCAAAUAGAACCACCGGAAGGAAACCAUUGUUCCUAUUAUCUUCUCCGUUCACUCACGUUUGCACCAUUUCCAUAAUCGAUCACCAACACGCACUCAAAACCGAUAGUUCCACCACCAAGUACACCUCCGAGUUGUUGUUUCCAGAAUUCACCAAAAUUGAUUCGCAGUGGCUUCAACUACCGCUUCAAGGGAAGAAGAAUAGAAGAUGCAUUGUGAUUUUCAGAUCAACCUCUGCGUCAAUUUCAACUUCAAACAAAAACAACAAAUUCUCGUGUAUUGGAAUCACAGAAAUUCGCAACCAAAUCGCGCCAGAAAAAUUCAAGCACAGAAUGAACUGGAACGCAACAAGAAUUUUCAGGAAAAUCUGAAAA